rnacentral:rRNA from 1 species
CCUACGGGAGGCAGCAGUGAGGAAUAUUGGUCAAUGGACGAGAGUCUGAACCAGCCAAGUAGCGUGAAGGAUGACUGCCCUAUGGGUUGUAAACUUCUUUUAUAUGGGAAUAAAACGUUCCACGUGUGGGAUUUUGUAUGUACCAUAUGAAUAAGGAUCGGCUAACUCCGUGCCAGCAGCCGCGGUAAUACGGAGGAUCCGAGCGUUAUCCGGAUUUAUUGGGUUUAAAGGGAGCGUAGGUGGAUUGUUAAGUCAGUUGUGAAAGUUUGCGGCUCAACCGUAACAUUGCAGUUGAAACUGGCAGUCUUGAGUACAGUAGAGGUGGGCGGAAUGCGUGGUGUAGCGGUGAAAUGCUUAGAUAUCACGAAGAACUCCGAUUGCGAAGGCAGUUCACUGGACUGCAACUGACACUGAGGCUCGAAAGUGUGGGUAUCAAACAGGAUUAGAUACCCCAGUAGUC